GUGGAUUAGAUACCCUGGUAGUCCACGCCCUAAACGAUGCGAACUGGAUGUUGGUCUCAACUCGGAGAUCAGUGUCGAAGCUAACGCGUUAAGUUCGCCGCCUGGGGAGUACGGUCGCAAGACUGAAACUCAAAGGAAUUGACGGGGGCCCGCACAAGCGGUGGAGUAUGUGGUUUAAUUCGAUGCAACGCGAAGAACCUUACCUGGCCUUGACAUGUCCGGAAUCCAGCAGAGAUGCAGGAGUGCCUUCGGGAAUCGGAACACAGGUGCUGCAUGGCCGUCGCCAACU
rnacentral:rRNA from 1 species